AUGAACGCUAGCUACAGGCUUAACACAUGCAAGUCGAGGGGCAGCAUGAACUUAGCUUGCUAAGUUUGAUGGCGACCGGCGCACGGGUGAGUAACGCGUAUCCAACCUUCCGUACACUCAGGGAUAGCCUUUCGAAAGAAAGAUUAAUACCUGAUGGUAUGAUGGGAUUGCGUUCCAUUAGGUUGUUGGCGGGGUAACGGCCCACCAAGCCUUCGAUGGAUAGGGGUUCUGAGAGGAAGGUCCCCACAUUGGAACUGAGACACGGUCCAAACUCC
rnacentral:rRNA from 1 species